AAUCCCUAGCCCUCAUUGCCGCCUUAGCAAAUUCCACCUUGAAGGAGGAAGAAAGCCCAAAGCCUAAUCGUAAGAGUUGGAGAGUUGACUCUGACAUUCGACUUCGUCGCCGCUGUUCCUUAGUCCUCUCCACUACACUCCCUCAUCUCAUCUCAUCUCGCAGCAGCUCAUCGUUCCUCUCCACUCGUCGUCGUGACCGACCGUCGUCGAUCUACUCGAGUUGCUCCUGCCCUGCUUCAGUUCGGGUAAGUAGAGGUACUCUGCAUCUCAUAUGCAAGAGGGAGAAGGAAGUUUGAUGGGGAACGAUGUCGUAUCUUCUGCCGCACCUGCACUCGUGACAGGCUGUGGAUCAGGCAAUCCUGGCUGAGGAGGAGCGCCUCACCGUCAUCUGAUUCGGCCACGAUUGGGAUGAAACCUGUAUACAGGUGGCAAUGAGAAGAAUUUUUAUAGCAAAGUAUAUGUAGGACAUGGAGCAUGUAAGUUGCAAAGAAGCAAAGAAAGAAUGAAGGAAGAAGAGAAUGUUGUUUGUUCGUCUCAUCUGAAAUUAUUGUUUAUCUCUUAUGUUUAUCAAUGAGGGAAGAAGAGAACGAUGGUUUUAUAUAAAGUGCAGAAAAUUAAACCCUCUGCUCCUAUAUAUGUGUAGUCAGAGGGUACUAGAAUGACUGAUGAGAAGUAACUUGAAAUGUGGAGCAAAUCUACAAAGAAUCGUAUACGAUUAAAGUUUCGAGCUUCCU